rnacentral:pre_miRNA from 12 species
GGAUGUGAUCACUGACGGGCUGCCCUGGCUCAGUUAUCACAGUGCUGAUGCUGUCCGUUCUCAAGGUACAGUACUGUGAUAACUGAAGGAUGGCAGCCAUCUUGCCACCGGUCACAG